rfam:Nostoc sp. PCC 7524, complete genome.
UGGUAGAUGCACCUUGAUCUUCAACUCCCCUGGUUGGCUAACACCUACCUGGGGUUUUUUCU